rnacentral:ncRNA from 1 species
AAAAGGGGUGCCCCGCCUGCCGGGAGCUGAGAAUAGACCCGUUGAACCUGCACGGAUAAUGCCGACGAAGGGAAGAUUAUUUUUAA